rnacentral:rRNA from 1 species
UACGUAGGGGGCAAGCGUUGUCCGGAAUCAUUGGGCGUAAAGCGCGUGUAGGCGGCCCGAUAAGUCCGCUGUGAAAGUCGGGGGCUCAACCCUCGGAUGCCGGUGGAUACUGUCGGGCUUGAGUACGGAAGAGGCGAGUGGAAUUCCUGGUGUAGCGGUGAAAUGCGCAGAUAUCAGGAGGAACACCAAUUGCGAAGGCAGCUCGCUGGGACGUUACUGACGCUGAGACGCGAAAGCUAGGGGAGCAAACGGG